UGAGUAACACGUAUCCAACCUGCCGUCUACUCUUGACAGCCUUCUGAAAGGAAGAUUAAUACAAGAUGGCAUCAUGAGUCCGCAUGUUCACAUGAUUAAAGGUAUUCCGGUAGACGAUGGGGAUGCGUUCCAUUAGAUAGUAGGCGGGGUAACGGCCCACCUAGUCUACGAUGGAUAGGGGUUCUGAGAGGAAGGUCCCCCACAUUGGAACUGAGACACGGUCCAA
rnacentral:rRNA from 1 species